rnacentral:rRNA from 1 species
UCCUACGGGAGGCAGCAGUAGGGAAUCUUCCGCAAUGGACGAAAGUCUGACGGAGCAACGCCGCGUGAGUGAUGAAGGUUUUCGGAUCGUAAAACUCUGUUGUUAGGGAAGAACAAGUACGAGAGUAACUGCUCGUACCUUGACGGUACCUAACCAGAAAGCCACGGCUAACUACGUGCCAGCAGCCGCGGUAAUACGUAGGUGGCAAGCGUUGUCCGGAAUUAUUGGGCGUAAAGCGCGCGCAGGCGGUCCUUUAAGUCUGAUGUGAAAGCCCACGGCUCAACCGUGGAGGGUCAUUGGAAACUGGGGGACUUGAGUGCAGAAGAGAAGAGUGGAAUUCCACGUGUAGCGGUGAAAUGCGUAGAGAUGUGGAGGAACACCAGUGGCGAAGGCGACUCUUUGGUCUGUAACUGACGCUGAGGCGCGAAAGCGUGGGGAGCAAACAGGAUUAGAUACCCUGGUAGUCCACGCCGUAAACGAUGAGUGCUAAGUGUUAGAGGGUUUCCGCCCUUUAGUGCUGCAGCAAACGCAUUAAGCACUCCGCCUGGGGAGUACGGCCGCAAGGCUGAAACUCAAAGGAAUUGACGG